GCUACGGAAAGCAAUUUGCUCAGAUGAAGAAUAUUGGUAUGCCUUAUUCAGGAAACAUAUUUCCUAAAUGUGCUAUUUACAAGAAAUUCUGACAUAGGACAUCCAGAACAUAUUCUAGGACCUUCCAUAUGUGUCAUGGACUAACUCCUGUGUUCUGGUUCUACAGUAUGAAAGUAACCACCCAAUCACUCAGCCAAACUGCCAUAUAUGUGUCUGAUACCUAGGGAUACAAGCGUUGGGGACUAUUGGGAAACUUUGUCUUCCAAUUUUUUUCUCCUCAUAUCACUCUUUGAUACUUCCCGAUGUUUCGUGGUUCAAUGCCUCCUGAAGUGCCCCCCAAAAAAUCUUGAAGUGGAAAAACUUUUAGAAGAAAUUAUAAUCUAGCACAUCCACAAUACAUUCUAGGACCUCCCCUUUGUGUUGUGGACUAACUUCUGGCUUCUGGUUCUACAAUCUGACAGUAACUAUCCACGGGGAUACGCUAUUCUGCCCCACCACUUUGCCAAACUGCCAUAUGUGUGUUCGAUACCUGGAGAUACUGGCAUCAGAGUAUUGGGGAACUUUGACUUUCAAAAUUAGGAAAUCAUGAUAUCCCACCAUUACUCUUCGACGCUUCCGACACUUCAUGGUUUAGAACCCCCUGAAGUUCCCUCCCCAUAAAAAGAUUUGAAUCUAACCCCACGAAAGCCAUUAGAUCUAUAACUAUAAACCCUAGCAAACCUUAUCAAUCUCAGAUCUAACCUGCGAACCCUUGACGCUGCCCUUGGUGAAUCCUUGACAUCGCUUCCUUGGUCCAUUGGGCGAUGUCUGCGCCAUACGACAGCAAUGGCGCUCCAACCCAGCAAGCCAUGAGGAAGAGGUGGCUUCGCUUGCCUCGGCGGAAGGAGCGGCUUGGUUACUCAUCAGCCGGCGGUGACGAGACGCACAAGGAACACCGAAUCGAUGCGCCAGGCCGCCGGCGUAGGAGGAUGGCAACCCUUUUGGUGGAAGAGGGCAUCAUGGAACUGCUCUUGCAGAGGCGUUGGCCUGGCGGCGCUGCAUCCGCCCCAUGGGCGGUGGCUGCCAAGCGCAAGGGCAGCCCUAGGUUUCUUUGCGUGUAGCCGUGUUUGCUGCGAGCAUAUAGGCCUAUAUGGGCCCAGCCAGCUGUCCGUCACCCUUUCCAUUUUCUCUUGGGCCAAAUAUGAAUACGAAUAUUAUUUGGAACAUAAUUAAGAAUAUUUGGUGUGUUUUGUGAAGAAACGGUUAGGGAGUAGGACGAAUAUGCCCUUCUAUUGUAAUAUCCAAUUUAGAGUAUUAGGAGACUAGAUAUACAGUUUUUAUUUAGGCAGUAACAUUUUUCCAUACUCAUACUUGUCUUUGUUGCCAUAUCGGCAUGUCAGCACUCACCACCCAUAUCGUGUAUUCAGGAAGCUUAGGAGAUAUUCAAGCAGACUUGUCUUAGGCUCUUGUAGUAUCCUUGAGAAGUUAUCAAAUUCUAUUGAGCACUCAGCCCCAGCUUCAAUAGCUCCCUUUCACAUCAGCUCCUGAUAAUGUGUGUUAUGCUUCAGUGUGUUUAGUAUACAACUGAACUAUCAGAAUAAAAAAAGUGUUGACGAAAUGCAUACGAUUCACAUGGCUAUGAGUCAAGUUCAUCUAGAGGUUGAAUUCUUGGACAUAGAAAUGAUCAGCUAGGUUUUGUGUUAUUCACCUCAUCUUCGAGUUGAAUUCUUGCUUCUCGUUUUACAAUGUAACUCAGCAACUCAAAAGAUAGAGUAUUUGCUUGUGUUUAUUACUGUUCGGCGCACCUGUUUGACGUCCAGGACUUCCUCGGUUUGAGUCUCCAAAUUGUCAGACAAACCAAUUUUAUUAGUCAAUUUGGGCUUUCAUGCAGCUCGUUUGCACUCUCUUUGCUCUUUGUUGAGUGCAUUCCUUUUAUUUACUUGAGUUAUGAUGUAUUGUUUCUCCUCUACAAAGACCAAUAUGGAACGUCAAUAAGAAUGUUCCUUCUGGGAGGCAGUUAUGGAACUAGUGCUUUCCUCUGAUGCACCUUGCACCUUUUUUCUGGAAAUUUCAGGCUUACGGUUUACGGCCUUGCAACUGGAUGACAUACGUCUAUGUUUCCAUUCCUUUAAUGGUUGUUACCUCCACUGCUACUUUUUUUUUCUCACGACUUAUCUGUGACUGCUGUUUGUAUCAGUUUCGCGGCACCUAGCCACUUGAAAGGAUAUGGUAUGAUUAAAUACAUUAAACAUCAUAUACCCUGUUUUACAAUAGGGAUAUUCUGUGUCUUGGUUUGGCAUAUGUGGGAUUGUGUUCCCAUUGUGCAGCUAGGAAGGCAGGCAGCACCGUAGCAGCAGGUCCAGAGUUCACGUCGAACUCUAAUACCUUUUGUUACAAAAGAAAAGUGGUGCGUGCCUACCCAUUCGUGUUUUACCCUUAAGCAAAAUAUAGACCUGACAUAGCAAUUUUUUCUGUAUCCAUCCACUGUGUAUUGGCCAGUGUGGUGAUGCAUUUUGUUUUGCUUCUGUUGCUGCUACUAUAUGUAUUGUGCAGAAUAUAUCAUCAUUAUAUAUUUUUUAUGUAAAAUAUCAUAUUCUAAUGGUAAGCACAUGUUCUUUUAUACCACGUUGCAAUGUUGCUUGAUUCUAGCUUUUUUUUUAAUUCAGAUGUGAUUCAAGCAACAUUUGCUAUUUUGAAGGGUGAAUUCAGUCAAACGAAUUGUGUUUCAACGCGUGUAAUUUUUGCCACCCAUACUGCUAAUGGACCAACAGCUUUUGUUCGGUAUCAGCAUUGAACGACUUAGGGCUCCUUUUGAUUUAUAAGAAUUUGACAGGAACUUUGGAGGAUUUGAGUCAGUAGGAUUUGCUUUUCCUUGGGAAUUUUCCCUUCUGCUACAGUUAUUUUGUUUCUCUUAUGAUGUGCCAAACAAUCUUUGAUGUUGAAUUACAUGAGACACCAAUGCUUCGUUUU
rnacentral:lncRNA from 1 species